rnacentral:rRNA from 1 species
GAUGAACGCUGGCGGCGUGCCUAAUACAUGCAAGUCGAGCGAACAGACGAGGAGCUUGCUCCUCUGACGUUAGCGGCGGACGGGUGAGUAACACGUGGAUCACCUACCUAUAAGACUGGGAUAACUUCGGGAAACCGGAGCUAAUACCGGAUAAUAUAUUGAACCGCAUGGUUCAAUAGUGAAAGACGGUUUUGCUGUCACUUAUAGAUGGAUCCGCGCCGCAUUAGCUAGUUGGUAAGGUAACGGCUUACCAAGGCAACGAUGCGUAGCCGACCUGAGAGGGUGAUCGGCCACACUGGAACUGAGACACGGUCCAGACUCCUACGGGAGGCAGCAGUAGGGAAUCUUCCGCAAUGGGCGAAAGCCUGACGGAGCAACGCCGCGUGAGUGAUGAAGGUCUUCGGAUCGUAAAACUCUGUUAUUAGGGAAGAACAAAUGUGUAAGUAACUAUGCACGUCUUGACGGUACCUAAUAAGAAAGCCACGGCUAACUACGUG